rnacentral:tRNA from 1 species
GUGUUGUGGCCGAGUGGUCUAAGGCGGCAGGUUUAGGCCCUGUUCUCUCCGGGGGCGUGGGUUCGAACCCCACCGAC